GACGAACGCUGGCGGCGUGCUUAACACAUGCAAGUCACGGGGGCCCGCAAGGGCAACCGGCGAACGGGUGCGUAACACGUGAACAACCUGCCCUCGUGUGGGGGAUAGCCAUGCUAACGCGUGGGUAAUACCGCAUACGUUCUUUCGGGGGAGUCCCUGGAAGAGGAAAGCUCCGGCGCACGGGGAGGGGUUCGCGGCCUAUCAGCUAGUUGGCGGGGUAAUGGCCCACCAAGGCGACGACGGGUAGCUGGUCNGAGAGGAUGGCCAGCCACAUUGGGACUGAGAGACGGCCCAGACUCCUACGGGAGGCAGCAGUGGGGAAUCUUGCGCAAUGGCCGAAAGGCUGACGCAGCGACGCCGCGUGUGGGAUGAAGCAUUUCGGUGUGUAAACCACUGUUGCCCGGGACGAACAGCCUUUUCGAGAGGUCUGACGGUACCGGGUGAGGAAGCACCGGCUAAUUCUGUGCCAGCAGCCGCUGUAAU
rnacentral:rRNA from 1 species